AACAGAGUAGGGAAUAAAGCGUUAAGUGCUAGAAGGAUGGGAUGUUGCCUUUUGGACGAAAAGCUAUCUUUGGAUAGUUUGCGGUUUUAUUCUUGCAUUCGCUGCA
rfam:Carnobacterium maltaromaticum LMA28 complete genome